rnacentral:rRNA from 1 species
UCAAGCUAAUAAGAGCAUAAGGUGAAUGCCUUGGCAUCAAGAACCGAUGAAGGACGUAAAAAGCUGCGAUAAGCUUCGGGGAGGCGCACAUAGCCAACGAUCCGGAGAUUUCCGAAUGGGGAAACCUAGCUGAGAAAAGCUCAGUUGGCGUACAGUGAAUCAAUAGCUGUGCGUAGGGAACGCUCUGAACUGAAACAUCUAAGUAGGAGCAGGAAGAGAAAGAAACAUCGAUUUCCUAAGUAGUGGCGAACGAACGGGAAACAGGCCAAACCGAGAUACAUGUAUUUCGGGGUUGUGGACUACAUCAUGUGAUGGAGGUAAGGUAGUAGAAUUGUUUUGGGAAAGCAAGCCAAAGAAAGUGAAAGCCUUGUAUACGAAACCUGAAGACCCACAGUAGUAUCCAGAGUACAUCGGGACACGUGAAACCCUGAUGGAAGCCGGAGGGACCACCCUCCAAGCCUAAAUAUUCCUUGAUGACCGAUAGCGAAGAAGUACUGUGAAGGAAAGGUGAAAAGAACCCCGGGAGGGGAGUGAAAGAGAACCUGAAACCUUAUGUUUACAAACAGUCGAAGUUUUUCGGAACGACGGCGUACUUUUUGUAGAACGGUCCGGCGAGUUGCAGUGACAUGCGAGGUUAAGGAGUACAGCUCCGGAGCCGAAGGGAAACCAAGUCUUAACUGGGCGUCUAGUAUGUUAAUGCAGACCCGAAACCGGGUGACCUAUCCAUGGGCAGGUUGAAGUUACCGUAAAAGGUAAUGGAGGACCGAACUCACAUCUGUUGAAAAAGGUGGAGAUGACCUGUGGAUAGCGGAGAAAUUCCAAUCGAACUCGGAGAUAGCUGGUUCUCCUCGAAAUAGCUUUAGGGCUAGCCUUGAGGUAAAGUCUAAUGGAGGUAAAGCACUGAUUGGACGCGGGUCCCCAAAAGGAUACCAACUUCUAUCAAACUCAGAAUGCCAUAUAGAUAUACUCAGGAGUCAGACUAUGUGAGAUAAGUUUCAUAGUCAAAAGGGAAAGAGCCCAGACCGACAGCUAAGGUCCCAAAGUGUGUGUUAAGUGGAAAAGGAUGUUAGGUUUCUAAGACAACUAGGAUGUUGGCUCAGAAGCAGCCACUCAUUUAAAGAGUGCGUAACAGCUCACUAGUCGAGAGGUCUAGCGCCGAAAAUGUCCGGGGCUAAAACACACCACCGAAGCUACGGAAUUACCUAUGGUAAUUGGUAGAGGAGCAUUCUGUAAGGAUGAAGCACAAUUGAAAGAGAGUGUGGACGAAACAGAAGAGAGAAUGCCGGAAUGAGUAGCGAGAUAUAUGUGAGAAUCAUAUAGGUCGAAUGUCUAAGGUUUCCUGGGUAAAGCUGAUCUGCUCAGGGUAAGUCGGGACCUAAGGUGAGGGCGAGAGCCGUAAUCGAUGGACAACAGGUAGAAAUUCCUGUACUACGUAUAAUCAGAACUGUGGGGACGCAGGAGGAUAGGAAAACCGGAGAAUGGAAAAAUCCGGCUAAGUACAAAGGUGUGAGUGAUAGGCAAAUCCGUCACUAUUAGCUGAAGUACGAAUGGGAGCGAAGAAAAGUAGCGAAGUUUCUGAAUCCACACUGUCAAGAAAAGCCGCUAUUGCGUUAUACGUACCCGUACCGCAAACCGACACAGGUAGACGAGGAGAAAAUCCACAGACCGACGGGAGAAGUGUUGUUAAGGAACUCGGCAAAAUGACCCCGUAACUUAGGGAUAAGGGGAGCCAACGCAAGUUGGUCACAGAAAAGAGGCUCAAGCGACUGUUUAGCAAAAACACAGGUCUAUGCGAAACCGUAAGGUGAUGUAUAUGGGCUGACGCCUGCCCGGUGCUGGAAGGUUAAGAGGAGAGGUUAGCGCAAGCGAAGCUUUGAAUUUAAGCCCCAGUAAACGGCGGCCGUAACUAUAACGGUCCUAAGGUAGCGAAAUUCCUUGUCAGGUAAGUUCUGACCCGCACGAAAGGUGUAACGAUUUGAGCACUGUCUCGACAACACGCCCGGUGAAAUUGAAGAACCAGUGAAGAUACUGGUUACCCGCAACAGGACGGAAAGACCCCAUGGAGCUUUACUGCAGCUUAAUAUUGGGAUUCGGUAUUGUAUGUACAGGAUAGGAGGGAGACUAAGAAGCUAGCACGCCAGUGUUGGUGGAGUCGAUGGUGGGAUACCUCUCUUAUAAUACUGAAUUUCUAACCUACUUCCGUGAUCCGGAAGAGGGACAUUGUUAGGCGGGCAGUUUGACUGGGGCGGUCGCCUCCGAAAGAGUAACGGAGGCGCUCAAAGGUCUUCUCAGAAUGAUUGGAAACCAUUCAAAGAGUGUAAAGGCAAAAGAAGGCUUGACUGCGAGAGUGACAACUCGAGCAGGUACGAAAGUAGGACUUAGUGAUCCGGUGGUAACAAGUGGGAGUGCCAUCGCUUAACGGAUAAAAGCUACCCUGGGGAUAACAGGCUUAUCUCCCCCAAGAGUUCACAUCGACGGGGAGGUUUGGCACCUCGAUGUCGGCUCAUCGCAUCCUGGGGCUGUAGUAGGUCCCAAGGGUUGGGCUGUUCGCCCAUUAAAGCGGCACGCGAGCUGGGUUCAGAACGUCGUGAGACAGUUCGGUCCCUAUCCGUCGCGGGCGUAGGAAAUUUGAGAGGAGCUGUCCCUAGUACGAGAGGACCGGGAUGGACAUACCGCUGGUGUAUCAGUUGCGCCGCCAGGCGCAUUGCUGAGUAGCUAUGUAUGGAUGAGAUAAACGCUGAAAGCAUCUAAGUGUGAAACUCGCCUCAAGAUGAGAUUUCCCAUUCCUAUAUGGAAGUAAGACUCCUGAAAGAUGAUCAGGUAGAUAGGUUAGAAGUGGAAGCGUAGUGAUACGUGAAGCGGACUAAUACUAAUCAGUCGAGGACUUAACCAA